GUGGGGAAUAUUGGACAAUGGGCGAAAGCCUGAUCCAGCCAUGCCGCGUGUGUGAAGAAGGUCUUCGGAUUGUAAAGCACUUUAAGUUGGGAGGAAGGGCAGUAAGUUAAUACCUUGCUGUUUUGACGUUACCGACAGAAUAAGCACCGACUAACUUCGUGCCAGCAGCCGCGGUAAUACGAAGGGUGCAAGCGUUAAUCGGAAUUACUGGGCGUAAAGCGCGCGUAGGUGGUUUUGUAAGUUGGAGGUGAAAUCCCCGGGCUCAACCUGGGAACUGCCUCCAAAACUGCAUGACUAGAGUACGGUAGAGGGUAGUGGAAUUUCCUGUGUAGCGGUGAAAUGCGUAGAUAUAGGAAGGAACACCAGUGGCGAAGGCGACUACCUGGACUGAUACUGACACUGAGGUGCGAAAGCGUGGGGAGCAAACAGGAUUAGAAACCCCAGUAGUCC
rnacentral:rRNA from 1 species